rnacentral:rRNA from 1 species
AUUGAACGCUGGCGGCAUGCUUUACGCAUGCAAGUCGAACGGUAACAGGGUGCUUGCACCGCUGACGAGUGGCGAACGGGUGAGUAAUGCGUCGGAACGUGCCGAGUAGUGGGGGAUAACGCAGCGAAAGUUGUGCUAAUACCGCAUACGUACUGAGGUAGAAAGUGGGGGACCUUCGGGCCUCACGCUAUUCGAGCGGCAGACGUCUGAUUAGAUAGUAGGUGAGGUAAAGGCUCACCUAGGCGACGAUCAGUAGCGGGUCUGAGAGGAUGGUCCGCCACACGUGGACUGAGACACGGCCCAGACUCCUGCGGGAGGCAGCAGUGGGGAAUUUUGGACAAUGGGCGAAAGCCUGAUCCAGCCAUGCCGCGUGUCUGAAGAAGGCCUUCGGGUUGUAAAGGACUUUUGUCGGGGAGGAAAUCCCCAGCGUUAAUACCGCUGGGGGAUGACAGUACCUGAAGAAUAAGCACCGGCUAACUACGUGCCAGCCGCCGCAGUAACAC